GCCUCUAUGGCGCAGUGGUAACGCGUCGCACUUGUAUCAAACAUAAGAUCAUGCGAAGAUCGGCGGUUCAAUUCCGCCUGGAGGCA